AUAGUUAGUAAAGUACUCUCUUUAUUUCACUCGUAUAUCUUGUGGAUUACUUGCUCUUCUUGUUGUUGGCACUGUUUGUGCCCUCGUUGAAUGUGUAUGUUUAGAAUUUAAAGUCCUGGGUAAAUUCUUGUACACAUUCCUGUUGUUGAGCCUUGGGCGGACAGGGGAGGUGCUGUCCGUUCGGCGGUCUGUCGCCGCGGCCGAAUCGUGCCAAAUUGGUAGUGAUUUCGGGGCGGGGCGUGACAAAG
rnacentral:lncRNA from 1 species